rnacentral:rRNA from 1 species
AUUGAACGCUGGCGGCAUGCUUUACACAUGCAAGUCGAACGGUAACAGGCCGCAAGGUGCUGACGAGUGGCGAACGGGUGAGUAAUGCAUCGGAACGUGCCCAGUCGUGGGGGAUAACGCAGCGAAAGCUGCGCUAAUACCGCAUACGAUCUCUGGAUGAAAGCGGGGGACCGAAAGGCCUCGCGCGAUUGGAGCGGCCGAUGUCAGAUUAGGUAGUUGGUGGGGUAAAGGCCCACCAAGCCAACGAUCUGUAGCUGGUCUGAGAGGACGACCAGCCAACCUGGGAGGUAGACCGGGACCAGAGGCCUACGGGAGGCAGCAGUGGGGAAUUAUGGACAAUGGGCGCAAGCCUGAACCAGCAAUGCCGCGUGCAGAAAGAAGGCGUUCGUGUUGUAAACUGCUUUUGUUCGGAACGAAACGGUCCGGGUGAAUAGCCUGGGCUAAUGACGGUACCGUAAGAAUAAGCACCGGCUAACUACGUGCCAGCCGCCGCCGUAAAAC